rnacentral:rRNA from 1 species
GUACAGCAUGGACCCGCGACUGAUUAGCUAGUUGGUAAGGUAACGGCUUACCAAGGCGACGAUCAGAAGCCGACCUGCGAGGGUGAUCGGCCACAUUGGAACUGAGACACGAUCCAAACUCCUACGGGAGGCAGCAGUGGGGAAUAUUGCACAAUGGGCGAAAGCCUGAUGCACCAACGCCGCGUGAGUGAUGAAGGCCUUCGGGUCGUAAAACUCUGUCCUCAAGGAAGAUAAUGACGGUACUUGAGGAGGAAGCCCCGGCUAACUUCGUGCCAACAGCCGCGGUAAUGCGUAGGGGGCUAGCGCCAUCCGGCUUCACUGGGCGUAAUGAGGGCGGAGGCGGUAUUGACCGGCAUGACUGACAAGCUACGGCUCAAACGUGGUAAGCACUUUAAAACGGGCGAACUCGGUGCAGCGGGGGAGAGCGGAGUUC